GUUUGGAAUUGCAAGUUCCCCAGCAGAAAGUCCCAGCUCGACUUGCACUUUUUUCUGGUGGGUGAGACUGUCCCAAGCCAGGAGCUUGUCCUCCGGGAGGGCAGUUUAUACCAGAGACUUGAUUAGUGCUAGGGCAGGACACCUGUGUUCCAAGUCUACUGCUGAUGGUGGGUAAUAGAGCAAGAGACCCAUCUGCCCUUGAGGGUGGUGACAGGUAAACUUCGGAGACUUGGCUGUCCUCUUUCUCAUCUGUUCCAUAGCUGCUUACCUUAGUCUC
rnacentral:lncRNA from 1 species